ensembl:lncRNA
AAUCAGGAGUGUGCACAAGCUGCUCACACACGCUGAGACCCUCGCCCUUCGUCCUGCCUGGAAAACCCCUUCCCUGAGAGCCUUUGUGGAUUUGGGGUCUUUGAGCCUGAGCUUCCUCGUUGGGCCCCAUCCUGGACACCUUGCAAUAAACGCUGCGCUUUGCUUCACCACAGCCCGCUGUUGGUAGGCUGACUUUACUGCCUGCAGCCGAGCUGACCCAAGUUUGGCUCGGUAACAGCGCACAGCACAGAGCAAAGUGGGAGGGGUGGAGGGUGAGGGGGCAGACAGGAAGUCUCCACACGGCGUCCAGAGUCCCACUUCAGCUGUGGCCUCUCCUCUGAGCUUCUGUCACGAUAUCUGACACGACCUCUCCACUUGUGUGAAAUACAGAAUCCCGUGGCCAGCAAUCCCGUCUCAGUAAGGAGCAUCGGUCAACAGUUCUCUUUCACAUCUCACAAUGGACACAGCAGCCCUUCAGUCAGCUCUGCAGGGGACCACUGUGCGUCACACCCCUCUCCGGGCUUCCGUGAGAAUCUCCGGGCUGGCCUCCCCUUUCUCUCUGUGACAGGCCUCCCCGCAACUCCCAGCGGAGUGAGCCCUGGCAUUCUUUGGAGCUACGUCUCCCCACCUCCGUGGACGGUGGGGGUCCCAGUUCUCACUGCGGUACAUUCACUUCCCCACCCUCUUGAAGCCAGGAGUGGUACAUGGCCCUGGUCUGCCCACUGGAGUUUGAAGAUAAAUUUUCUUCUCUGAGAGAACUUUCCUUUGUUAUAAAACAAUAUCAUUUUAUUUAUUUUUUGGAAAUGUUUGUCCUUACAGGUGGCCAAUAGGCACAUGAAGAGAUGCUCAGCAUUGCUAAUUAUUAGAAAAAUGAAAACCAGAACAAGUGAGGUGCCACCUCACACCAGUCAGAAAACCCACAAAUAACAAGUGCUGGAGAGGGUAGAGAAAAAAGGGAGCCCUCCUGCACUGUUGGUGGGAAUGUAAACUGGUGCAGCCACUGUGGAAAACAGCAUGGAGCGUCCUCAAAAUACUGAAAAUAGACUUGCACACGAUCCAGCAAUCCCACUCCUGGAUAUGUAUCCCCAAACCUCGAACUUGAAAAGAUACACGCGCCCCUACGUUCACAGCAACACUGUUUCCAACAGGCAAGACAUGGAAGCAACCUAAUGUCCAUGGACACAUGACCACGUGUCCUACUCUGCCAUCUUGAAACAGAAAAUAUAACGGAAUACUACUCAGCCAUACAAAUGACAUAGUGCCAUUUGCAGCAACAGGGAUGGACCCAGAAGUCGUCAUACUAACCCUGCUGCCGAUGCUGUGGUGGUGCUGACUGGCUGUUCGUGCGCUGGUGGAAGGGACGCUUGGCUUACGGCCUCUGUCGCUGAUUCGGGAAAGGCUUCUUAUUUGAACAUUGUGAGGUCCGGAUGAGCAAAUAGUGUGUGAAUCCAGGAGAACAAGGCUGGGCACAAAUAAACCCUGUGUGAACACUGCCCUUGUAUAAGAACGUCUGCUCCCUGAAGGCAGAGCUGGAAGCUUAGCACCUGGCAUCUAAUAGUGCUUGGUGGAGAUUUUGGCUGAAUAGCAUACAACAAGUUCUCUUUAAAUUUUUUUUGAGGGAAUGGUGGAACACAGGAAUCUCUGAAUUGAGGUUUUGGAGCUGAUUCAGUGUGUGUUGAUGGGAAGGUCUAGGACACGACUGAGGGAGGAGGGGCCCAGGAGAGGGCUGUGCAUUCUGAAAACCCGAGACCAGGAGUUGACAGCAUCCUCUCUUUUGACGCCGAAGACCCUGAAAUGAAGGCAGGAGAGAACCUGGGAGUCAACGUCUUCUUGGAAGAGCCCGGUGAUCACAGCGAGGGGGAGGGGAGUGGGCGAUGUGGCCGCUGGGAGAAGUGAGGUGUGGAAAACCUGGGGAACGAGGGCCUCCCUCUCCCCGCUUUGGGCGACAGCAGCUCGGAGCUGGCGAUGCCUCCGGGGUCCGGGGGUGUCGUUUGCGCGGCUCAGCUAGCCGUCGAGGACUCAGCCCCGCCCAGCUCCUCGUCUCAGCUGCCCAGUUCAGCAUCUGGUCAGUUGCUGGCCGGGAGCGAGGCGGGACGCGCGGAGGGCGCACACUCACCGCUCUCGCGCAGCCGGGAGGACCCGGGGGCCGAGGCGCGGUCCCCAGGGCCGGCGGCUGGACGGGGCUAGGG